CCUACGGGCGGCAGCAGUGGGGGAUAUUGCACAAUGGGGGAAACCCUGAUGCAGCGACGCCGCGUGUGGGAAGACGGUCCUCUGGAUUGUAAACCACUGUCUCCAGGGACGAAGAUGACGGUACCUGGGGAGGAAGCUCCGGCUAACUAGGCGCGAGCAGCCGCGGUAAUACGUAGGGAGCGAGCGUUGUCCGGAAUUACUGGGUGAAAAGGGAGCGUAGGCGGGACUGCAAGUUGGGUGGCAAAUCUACCGGCUCAACCGGUAGCCGCACUCAAAACUGCAGUUCUUGAGUGAAGUAGAGGCAGGCGGAAUUCCUAGUGUAGCGGUGAAAUGCGUAGAUAUUAGGAGGAACACCAGUGGCGAAGGCGACCUGCUGGGCUUUUACUGUCGCUGAGGCUCGAAAGUGUGGGGAGCAAACAGGAUUAGAUACCCUUGUAGUC
rnacentral:rRNA from 1 species